rnacentral:rRNA from 1 species
AGUCGAGCGAACGGACGAGAGUGCUUGCACUCUCUGAUGUUAGCGGCGGACGGGUGAGUAACACGUGGGUAACCUACCUAUAAGACUGGGAUAACUUCGGGAAACCGGAGCUAAUACCGGAUAAUAUUUAGCUUCGCAUGAAGCAAUAGUGAAAGACGGUUCUGCUGUCACUUAUAGAUGGACCCGCGGUGUAUUAGCUAGUUGGUGAGGUAACGGCUCACCAAGGCAACGAUACAUAGCCGACCUGAGAGGGUGAUCGGCCACACUGGGACUGAGACACGGCCCAGACUCCUACGGGAGGCAGCAGUAGGGAAUCUUCCGCAAUGGACGAAAGUCUGACGGAGCAACGCCGCGUGAGUGAAGAAGGUUUUCGGAUCGUAAAACUCUGUUGUAAGGGAAGAACAAGUACGUUAGUAACUGAACGUACCUUGACGGUACCUUACCAGAAAGCCACGGCUAACUACGUGCCAGCAGCCGCGGUAAUACGUAGGUGGCAAGCGUUAUCCGGAAUUAUUGGGCGUAAAGCGCGCGUAGGCGGUCUCUUAAGUCUGAUGUGAAAGCCCCCGGCUCAACCGGGGAGGGUCAUUGGAAACUGGGAGACUUGAGUGCAGAAGAGGAGAGUGGAAUUCCAUGUGUAGCGGUGAAAUGCGCAGAGAUAUGGAGGAACACCAGUGGCGAAGGCGGCUCUCUGGUCUGUAACUGACGCUGAGGUGCGAAAGCGUGGGGAUCAAACAGGAUUAGAUACCCUGGUAGUCCACGCCGUAAACGAUGAGUGCUAAGUGUUGGGGGGGUUUCCGCCC